UUCCAGACUCCUACGGGAGGCAGCAGUGAGGAAUAUUGGUCAAUGGCCGCAGGGCUGAACCAGCCAAGUCGCGUGAGGGAUGACGGUCCUAUGGAUUGUAAACCUCUUUUGUCAGGGAGCAAAGGGCGCCACGUGUGGCGUUUUGCGAGUACCUGAAGAAAAAGCAUCGGCUAACUCCGUGCCAGCAGCCGCGGUAAUACGGAGGAUGCGAGCGUUAUCCGGAUUUAUUGGGUUUAAAGGGUGCGUAGGUGGUUAAUUAAGUCAGCGGUGAAAGUUUGUGGCUCAACCAUAAAAUUGCCGUUGAAACUGGUUGACUUGAGUAUAUUUGAGGUAGGCGGAAUGCGUGGUGUAGCGGUGAAAUGCAUAGAUAUCACGCAGAACUCCGAUUGCGAAGGCAGCUUACUAAACUAUAACUGACACUGAAGCACGAAAGCGUGGGGAUCAAACAGGAUUAGAUACCCUUGUAA
rnacentral:rRNA from 1 species